rnacentral:sRNA from 1 species
UUUGUUGUUGUUCUUCUCCAUCUCCCUUCUUAUGAUACAUUGUUGGCAUCUCCUUCACUCUCAAACACUCCAA